AGGUCUAGUUGGUACAUGUGUAAUCUCAGCGCUCCAUAAUCUUAUGAGACUUCAGUUACUCAAUCAAGAAUCCAGGAUGUCCUCCCAGGCAGCACCCGGCUGAUGCUGGUCCGGUGUUGGUUCUCCAGGGGCUGUGCUCUGAGCUGCAGUCUCCACUUUCUCCAAGAGGGGGCUCUACACUGCUGUCUCAGCCUCCUGGCCUCCGUUGGCUGCUGACGGGUCACUGCCAACUUCUCUGGUGCCAUGUCUCUAGGCUCUACACCCGUCACAGCUUUGAAUGCUACUUUUCGUUCUGCAUCACCCUCCUGACCUCCGGCCGCUCUCCUUGCUGUAGAGAGCCGUUGUCCUGGCCUUCGGCCCGGUCUCGCCACAGUGCACCACCACGUCCAGUCAGAGGGGAGUCUCUGGAGUUCUGGGCGCCGCUGAACAUGUGCUACAUCCUGUUGGUGGUCUAAGUCCAAGGGGAUGGAUCAAUCAGAACUUGAUUUCCAUUCAAUCUUAGCAGGCAAAGAAUGAGUUGAAUCAGUCAACUGAGAGCAGUAGCACCAAAAAUAGAAUCGCCUCUUAGAAACGUAAAGAUCGGGGUCUUGUUCAGUAGGGAGAAAACAUUUAAAAACUGAGUGAAAUGACGGGAAGUACGACCUCAAUUUGGCCAAUAAGAACACAGAUUUUCAUUUUCAGUCAAUGUUUUUGCUCCAGUGUACACUACUGAACAUGACCCUAGUAGCGUCACAUUUGUUAAUUGAACUUCUCUAUUGUCCUCCACAGAGGAGCAGCACUGCUGCCCGGGUAGUGAGGCUUUACUGCACACAGUGGCCCUGUGUAUGGGGACCCUGCUGGUGCUCAUGCUGACGGUAGGCCGCUAGACUGACAUGCUCCUCAUCCUCGUCACCUUCCUGGGGGGAGGCUGUCUGCCUGCUGCCCUCCCAGGUACUCCCUAAGUUCUGCCCCAGGAGGGAGCAGAAGACAUUCACAAGCAGAUCUGUCUGGCAUUCCAGAAGCCUGUCAUCAGACAGCGACACACAGAAAGACUAUCAGGCUGCAGAAUACCACAACACAGACCAGUUACUGUUUCACUCUACCUCAGACAAAAGAAACUUUUACCUCAAAUACAGCCAUCUACUGGCCUGUCUCACUCAGUGAUACUGUUGAAAUCCAAUACUGUCCCCGUUUACAUAGACAUGUUAAGCUUUGAUGUUGCGCAGCGGUCUGAAGCACUGCUUCUCAGUGCCAGAGGCGUCACUACAGACACCCUGGUUCGAUUCCAGGCUGUAUCACAACCGGCUGUGA